AUUUCUAUAUGAAUUUGUACAGGGAUUUUUAGGCUAUCGGAUGGAUUCAUUUGACAGUGAUUCUCUUUUCUUCUGGAAUUCCAUCUGUUAGAUAUAUAUUAAUGCAGCUUUAUGUUGGGUGAUCUUCGUUUUAUUGACAUGUACGCUUAGAUCUCUUUUACCAACCAUGUUUGUGAACAUGGUGAAAGCUUAUCGUAAAAAUAAAUAAAACUGAUUAGG
rnacentral:lncRNA from 1 species